rnacentral:rRNA from 1 species
AGAAUCAACGCUGGCGGCGUGCCUAACACAUGCAAGUCGCACGAGAAAGGGUAGCAAUACCUGAGUAAAGUGGCGCACGGGUGAGUAACACGUGAAUAAUCUACCUCCGAGUGGGGAAUAACUGAGAGAAAUCUUAGCUAAUACCGCAUAACACUUACGAGUCAAAGCAGCAAUGCGCUUGGAGAGGAGUUCGCGGCCGAUUAGUUAGUUGGCGGGGUAAUGGCCCACCAAGACGAUGAUCGGUAUCCGGCCUGAGAGGGCGCACGGACACACUGGAACUGAAACACGGUCCAGACUCCUACGGGAGGCAGCAGUGGGGGAAUUUUGCGCAAUGGGGGAAACCCUGACGCAGCAACGCCGCGUGGAGGAUGAAGCCCCUUGGGGUGUAAACUCCUUUCGAUCGGGAAGAUAAUGACGGUACCGAUAUAAGAAGCCCCGGCUAACUUCGCGCCAGCAGCCGC